rnacentral:lncRNA from 1 species
CCGAGAAGCAAUGACCAGUGGUUGCUACACUGCAACUUUUAGGGACAAUAUAUAUCAUACAAACAAUCAAAAAAACACUGUGACAUGUUAUAACCUACAAGGUAAACUACAAUGGACAUUCCAUAACGAAAGCGUUCUUAAAACUCCUCAUGGUAUUGAUGUAGAUAACGAUGGUAAUGUGUUCGUGGUGGGGGACGAAUCGUACAACGUUGUAGUUAUCUCCCCUGAUGGAAAAAGACAUAGAGAAGUAUUGACAGCAAGGGAUGGUCUUGAUAAUCCUAUGUCACUUCAUUAUAGUGGAACAACGAAUCAGUUGCUAGUCGCGAACUACACCAAUAGAAAAGCUUUUUUG